GACGAACGCUGGCGGCGUGCUUAACACAUGCAAGUCGAACGCUGAAGCUUGGUGCUUGCACUGGGUGGAUGAGUGGCGAACGGGUGAGUAAUACGUGAGUAACCUGCCCUGACUUCGGGGUAAGCCUGGGAAACUGGGUUUCACUAUGGAUUCGACAUGUCACCGCCUGGGGGUGUGUGGAAAGGGGUUUUGUGGUUUUGGAUGGGCGCACGGCCUAUUUGCUUGUUUGGGGGGUUAUGGCCCACCCAGGGGACGACGGGUAGCCGGCCUGAGAGGGUGACCGGCCACACGGGGACUAAGACACGGCCCAGACGCCUACGUGAGGCAGCAGUGGGGAAUAUUGCACAAUGGGCGGAAGCCUGAUGCAGCGACGCCGCGUUAGGGAUGACGGCCUUCGGGUUGUAAACCUCUUUCAGCACGGAAGAAGCGAAAGUGACGGUACGUGCAGAAGAAGCGCCGGCUAACUACGUG
rnacentral:rRNA from 1 species